rnacentral:rRNA from 1 species
UAGGGAAUCUUCGGCAAUGGGGGGAACCCUGACCGAGCAACGCCGCGUGAGUGAAGAAGGUUUUCGGAUCGUAAAGCUCUGUUGUUAAGGAAGAACGAGUGUGAGAAUGGAAAGUUCAUGCUGUGACGGUACUUAACCAGAAAGGGACGGCUAACUACGUGCCAGCAGCCGCGGUAAUACGUAGGGGGCUAGCGUUGUCCGGAAUCACUGGGCGUAAAGGGUUCGCAGGCGGAAUAACAAGUCAGAUGUGAAAGGCAUGGGCUCAACCCAUGUAAGCAUUUGAAACUGUAAUUCUUGAGAAGUGGAGAGGUAAGUGGAAUUCCUAGUGUAGCGGUGAAAUGCGUAGAUAUUAGGAGGAAUACCUGUGGCGAAGGCGACUUACUGGACACAAAUCUGACGCUGAGGAACGAAAGCGUGGGUAGCAAACAGG